UACGGAGGGGGCUAGCGUUGUUCGGAAUUACUGGGCGUAAAGGGCUCGUAGGCGGCCAACUAAGUCGGAUGUGAAAUCCCCAGGCUUAACCUGGGAACUGCAUCCGAUACUGGAUGGCUUGAAUCCGGGAGAGGGAUGCAGAAUUCCAGGUGUAGCGGUGAAAUGCGUAGAUAUCUGGAGGAAUACCGGUGGCGAAGGCGGCAUCCUGGACCGGCAUUGACGCUGAGGGAGCGAAAGCUAGGGGAGCAAACGGG
rnacentral:rRNA from 1 species